rnacentral:rRNA from 1 species
GGGGAAUUUUCCGCAAUGGGCGAAAGCCUGACGGAGCAAUACCGCGUGAGGGAGGAAGGCUCUUGGGUCGUAAACCUCUUUUCUCAGGGAAGAACACAAUGACGGUACCUGAGGAAUAAGCAUCGGCUAACUCCGUGCCAGCAGCCGCGGUAAUACGGAGGAUGCAAGCGUUAUCCGGAAUGAUUGGGCGUAAAGCGUCCGCAGGUGGCGAUGUAAGUCUGCUGUUAAAGAGUCUAGCUCAACUAGAUAAGAGCAGUGGAAACUACAUAGCUAGAGUACGUUCGGGGCAGAGGGAAUUCCCGGUGUAGCGGUGAAAUGCGUAGAGAUCAGGAAGAACACCNGUGGCGAAGGCGCUCUGCUAGGCCGUAACUGACACUGANGGACGAAAGCUAGGGGAGCGAAUGGGAUUAGNUACCCCAGUAGUC